rnacentral:rRNA from 1 species
GAGUUUGAUCCUGGCUCAGGAUGAACGCUGGCGGCGUGCUUAACACAUGCAAGUCGAGCGAAGCAGUUAAGUUGAUUUCUUCGGAUUGAUUCUUAAUUGACUGAGCGGCGGACGGGUGAGUAACGCGUGGGUGACCUGCCCUGGAGUGGGGGACAACAGUUGGAAACGACUGCUAAUACCGCAUAAGCCCACGAUCCGGCAUCGGAUUGAGGGAAAAGGAUUUAUUCGCUUCAGGAUGGACUCGCGUCCAAUUAGCUAGUUGGUGAGGUAACGGCCCACCAAGGCGACGAUUGGUAGCCGGACUGAGAGGUUGAACGGCCACAUUGGGACUGAGACACGGCCCAGACUCCUACGGGAGGCAGCAGUGGGGGAUAUUGCACAAUGGGGGAAACCCUGAUGCAGCAACGCCGCGUGAGUGAAGAAGUAUCUCGGUAUGUAAACUUCUAUCAGCAGGGAAGAAAAUGACGGUACCUGACUAAGAAGCCCCGGCUAACUACGUGCCAGCAGCCGCGGUAAUUC